UACGUAGGGGGCUAGCGUUAUCCGGAAUUACUGGGCGUAAAGGGUGCGUAGGUGGUUUCUUAAGUCAGAGGUGAAAGGCUACGGCUCAACCGUAGUAAGCCUUUGAAACUGGGAAACUUGAGUGCAGGAGAGGAGAGUGGAAUUCCUAGUGUAGCGGUGAAAUGCGUAGAUAUUAGGAGGAAUACCAGUUGCGAAGGCGGCUCUCUGGACUGUAACUGACACUGAGGCACGAAAGCGUGGGGAGCAAACAGG
rnacentral:rRNA from 1 species